UUCAGAAGCCCCAGAGACGGUCUCAGAGGUUUAAGGAGCCUGGGUUUCUAUGUAUCCUCCUCCCUGAUAGAAAAAGAAGAUGUUUCUCGCUGUGGGCUUCAGCCUUGUGCUUUUCUACAAGGGUGUGCUGUGUAACCAAGUGACCCAGAGUCCCCCGGAGCAGAGAGUGGCGAGUGGCAGUCAGGUGACAUUGCUCUGCACCUUCCAAACCACAUAUUCAGAUCCAGACUUAUACUGGUACCGAAAAAGGCCAGAUGGUGUCUUCCAGUUUGUCCUGUACAGGGACAACACUAGAUCCCGUGAUGCAGAUUUUGCUCGGGGUAGAUUUACCGUGCAGCAUAGCGUGAGCCACAAAACCUUCCACUUGAUGAUCUCCUCUGUGAGGCCUGAAGACAUUGCUACUUACUACUGUGCUUUGAGACUCCCACGGUGAUGCAGGCGCCCAGGAAGUGUGCACACAAACCCCUGGGCACAGCCUGGCAGAGCUGCUUCUCUGGGCAGCUCAUGUCCUUGAACAUGGCAUCCUUCUUCCCCGUCAUUCUGUGGUCCAGUCUGGCCUUGGGAGGUGCCCUAGCGUGCCUGCCAAAUACGAAAAAGCCUGGUCACUUGCAGGGGAGCACCCCGACUUCCAAUGGAGGAGAUGUCGCUCCACUUCAUAGAGGGCCCUUGAUGCCCCAGUGUCUGUCUGAGGAACCCUGGUGCCUGGGUUGUGCCUGAUACAGAGAAGGGCUUGACAGGGAUGUGCUGUGUGCCCUGGGCAGACAGCCAGAUGGGGUGGGUGGGGGUCCAAUCUAAAGAGAGCCCAUUGGAAGUGUGCUUAUUUUAUCUCCAUCAUUUACCCAUUGUUGGAAUUGGCCUGUUUCCCUUUUAAGAUUCAAAUUGGACACAAAGUUAUUUACUUUAAAAAAUUUCCGCAGUUUACCUUUCAUGCACAUCUUCUUGAGCAGUCACCUUGUUUCUCUGGGAUGUUCUUUGGUACCUCCUUUUUACUUUGUCUGGAGAAUAUUUUCCUUUCACCAAAGAGCAUUGAGAUAUUCCCAGAAAGCUGUCUGUGAAAACCAGAAUCCCAGCUUCAAAGUUCCUGAGUUUGGAGCCCAGUGGCAUCCCCAGGGGAGAGAAUUACCUCCAGGCAAAACCAAGAUGUGAUGUCAAAAAUAGAUACACCCUCAGCCCUGGGAUUGCACCCCUCCUUCCUCUACUACUGAUGUUUCUGCCUUAAUACAACUAUUGGAGUUAUUACGUGUAACCUUAGAAAUAGAAGUCUUGAUGGUGGUGGUUGAGUUGCUAAGUCGUGUGGGACUCUUUUGUGACCCCAUGGACUGUGGCCACCAGACUCCUUCAUCCUUGGAAUUCUCUAGGCAAGAAUACUGGAGUGGGUUGCCAUUUCUUCUCCAGGGGAUCUUCCUGACCCAGGGAUUGAACCAGUCUCCUGCAUUGCAGGUGGAUUGUUUAUGGCUGAUCCACUAGGGAAGCCCUAGUAGAAGCGUUAGACGUUAUUUUAUAGGAAAAGCCCAGAGAAGUGAGGGACAAUCAGAAGAUCACUGAGCUGGUUAAUGACUGAGCCAAGGGAGCAUAUCUGGGUGCUCCCAUGCAGCUGUGCCCUAGGAGGCUGUAGCAGUAAGUAGCUUGGGCAGCAGUUUGUCUGGGCUUGAGCACAGGCAAGUGGAGAGUAGUCACUAUAGAGAGGGAAGGAAAGAACAUGGGUGAGGGAGCCAAAGUUUCAGGCAAAUGACUCAGCUUCUGGGGCUUCUGUUCUGCCACCUACUGAGUGUGUGUAAUACUCUUCUGUAAACUCCUUUUGGGUCCUUGUGGGACUUGAGAUUCUGCAUGUGAAAGCUCUGGAAACCUAUAAUCCAUGGCGGCAAGGUCCCCACACCUGAAGGCAGCCACAGUCCCCUCUGGCUCCAGCCUUAAAUCUUUUCUGGAGGGUCCCUUUGGUGGAAGAAAUUCAUAGUCCUAUAAAAUGCUGGUUGCCUUUUGCUGAUGAUCAAAGUGGGCCAGUGGGUGGCUCAUUCAUAUGCUAAGUGCAGGACUGUUUGAAUUUGGAGUUGGCACCCCUGAUAACUUGGUUCUGCUCCCAGAAAUAUCCCUGCCCCAUUGAAUGACUUCGGACGUGGUACACAACUUUUUGGGGGGCAUUUUUUUUCCAUCUGCAAAAUGAGUCUAUGAUCUUUUAGUUUUUAGCAACUUCAGAGAAAUACUCUAAGAAUGGCCUAAGGUAACAGAUGCACAUGUUUUGGAAAUAGGCAUUCUUGAUGCCCAUGAGGUGAAGAUGUGUGGAAUCUUCUAGUGGCUUUUCCCAGGAUAGAUCUGGCUUAUCCAUCUAGAUUGUCCUAAACUCACUGACUCAGAAUGCAGCUGCCUGUUUUCUUUGGUUUGGGGUGUGAGGACCUGAUGCGGCAGUCUGCAGAUGGCAAAGGCGGGGGAGUUGUGGGUGAGCCUUGUUCUUUCACUUGUCACCUCAUGAGUCUCAGCUGACACCCCACACAGGUGCUGAGGCACCCACAAUGCUGGGUUUCUAGGCCUCUGCUACCCGUGUUCCUGCAGAGGGAUAAAGCUGGCCUUGCCGAGGUGAGAGGAGCAGAGGUCAGUGGCCACAUGCGGGGAGGGGCGCUGCCGUUGUAGCAGCCACAGCAACAGCAGGAAACCCAGGGGCUGGGCUAGGGGCCCCGGAAGCUGUGGUGUGACCUAUGAGCUCAGUUUGGUUUUUGUCUGACUACUAGUGAAUUCACAGCCCCCCACUUCCUCCCUGCAGUAGUCUGCAAUAAAUAAAGCCAGAAGCAAGGUACAUACAAUGCACUUUAAUACAUGCAACAGAGACAAAGAAAAACGGCAGAAAACCAUCAACACCAAAGAUCCAAUGCCCUCAAAUUCCCCUUGUACAGAUGGGCAGGCAAGGGGUCAGGAAGACUUUGGUUUUACAGGGAAAUAUUGGGGACUCAUUCCUAUCCCUCCCUCCAAAAAUACUUGCACAGUGAGUUGCUUGAAAGCAAGACCCAUGUCUUACUUAUUUUUGCACUCUCAGCACAGUGCCUGGAACUUGCAAUAAUUCACGUUUGUUAAGUUGAGGAAAGCAAUCUCCUCUGCAUUUUACUCUGAUCUCUGCUAAUAGCUCUGAGAGUAUUUAGAUGAGACCCCAUUGCCUACAAAGAGAGUAUUAGGGAGUCAAGUGUUGCUUUGUUUCUCAAGUAUUAGGGAAAGCAGAAAGUGCUUUUGUGGAUGUGAACGCUAGUUUGGGCAAAUCUAGUGCUGGGUUGAGCAGAGGCUUUUACAUUUAGGUAGAAGGACACCCGCUCUCCUUUCCCCAAGAGGAUCUAUUUUUCCUCUUGGAGGAUGGAGCUGGGAACUGGAUGGGUCCCACUUUCUAGUUCUGGAGGCAAAGAAAGUCAAAGGAACAAAACACCACUUUCAAAGUAUGUCAGUCAUAGGGAAAAAAAUGAGUCCUAUGUACCUUCAUAUCUCUUAUCCCUUUAUAAAGCAGCAUAUAAAACAGUUGGGGCCAUAAGCCCCCAUUCCCCAGGACUUCUGUCUUUCAUCAGGCUGAAGGAUAAGCUGGGUUUGUUGCCUUUAAAGGAAAACCAGUUUGGGGAGCAGCCAUUUAAGCAAGGCUGGGAUGGGUCAACUUGAAUCACGAAAAAGUUGAAAGCCUAGGAGAUAGCUUCUCUGUAGGCUUUUGGUUUCUUUCAGGGAAUGCAGCCUUCUCAUGCCAGUCAGCCUGCAAAUGAAGGAAGACUGUCAGAGCUAUAGAAUCAUAGACCUUCGGUGCUGGAAGGAAUCGUAGUAGUCAUGGGGAAGGUCAGUACUUGCUAUGGUUGUACCAUUGCAGACAUCACUAACCUAUCCUGGCACAUUUCCCUUCUACACAUGGUGAUAGUUCAGCUAGUCACUAUCAGUUUAUCAGUGUUGACACCAGUUACAAAACCUAUCUGCUCUCCUUUAGUUAUUUUUCACUCCUUUGCAUUACAGAUGUGAUAACCCAGGUCCAACACGGUGAAGAAAACUGGCUCAGGUAUUGCAGUGAGUUAGUGACAAAGUUGGAACGAAAAUCUAGUGCUUCUGAUUCCUACUGAGGUCAGAAGGUCCUUUUCAUGUAGCCAUUUGGCCUGUGUCCUGGGGACGGUUGGUAAAACACUCACCUGUUGGGGAAUGACUGAGGAUGCUUGCAGGCUAGGUUGGGUAAGUCCAACACACUAAGUCUAGGAUUGUCCUUAGAUCAGGAGCUGGGACUGAGGGGUGUCUGGGGGCACUGGAGAAGGAGCUUUAUAGGCAAACCUAAGUUCUGGUUCAAAUUUCAUGUCUAAGAUACUCAGGCCACCUGAUGCGAAGAGCUAAUUCAUUGGAAAAGACCCUGAUGCUGGGAAAGAUUGAGGGCAAGAGAAGAAAGUGGCGGCAGAGGAUGAGAUGGUUAGAUAACAUUAUUGACUCAAUGGACAUAAGUUUGAGCAAACUCCGGGAGAUAGUGAAGGACAGGGAAGUGGGGCGUGCUGCAGUCCUUGGAGUCUCAAAGAAUCAGACAUGACUUAGCGACUGAACAAUAACAAGAUAACCAGGAGAGGGAAUGCAAGUGACCGGCAAAUAAUUCACAUCUCAUCCUCAAUUUGUAUGCAUCCUGAGAGGUUACUAGUGAGCUGUUCACUACGAAUAGGAGUGUAGGUUCAUCCCAAAGAUAGGCUGGUAGACCCAUUGAGUCCUAUGACUAAGGAUUAAGAACUGGCAUCACCUUUGUCUGGCAAAGACAAGUUCUGCUUCCCUGAAUAUUCUUCAAGUGAGCCUUUACUGAUGGUCUCUCAAAAAGCCCAUGGUCCUUUGGCCAUAUACACAAAAAUAGCAAUAAAGAAAAAGAUUUUUCCUG